rnacentral:lncRNA from 1 species
AUACCUCACAUUCCCCAGCACGGUUCCGACAGGCCCAUGAGUGGGGAGUCCUCAUGGCCUGGGAAGGUGGCCGAGAAAGUUUGAACAGCUGCAGAGCCUGCCCGUCCACUCUCUCCAGCCACAUUUGUGUGUGUGUGUGUGUGUGUGUGUGUGUGUUGUGUUUUGACCAACCUCUUAGGCUUAUGUAACACACUUGGAAGUCAAGAAGUAAGGACUCAUUACUGACAGCCUCAGAGAGGCUUGCGAAACACUUGCUGUGAAGAAAUCUUUCCAUUGAGAAAAAGUUCCCUGGUGCUCAUGCUCCCAGUGGCUCAGGUAUGUGGCUGGGGGUGACGGUGGUGUGAGAAGCAGGGGUCCCCAGGGCUCCAGAGCCCAGCGCCCCCUGCCGGAGCUGUGUCGCGCCCGGAAAUGGAAUUGAGCAUCGCUUUUGUCCUCUAUGUCACUGCUCACGUCACCACCAACAACCGACGUCGGUGACUAAACUCUCGCCGCGUAUCAGGCACUAUGCUGGGCCCCUGCGUUUGUGAUUUUCCUGGGCGCGUGCAUGACCAAGGGCUAGGUGCUCCUACGCCCAUUUUAUAGAGGAGGACACAGGCAAGGCGGUGGGGUCGGGGCCCUUGUCAGCAGGCUGCCACCCCACACCUCCCUGAGGUACAUGCAAAAGCAGACCCCUCCCCUCCCCACAGGUAUAGCUCUAUGUGGGCCCUUUGCAUGAGUGUAUUUUUAAGCUACUUGCUAGAUCCCAAGAGGAAAUGAGUGCUCAUCCUGCAGGGAGAGGCCAGCAUUCCACUGGGCCAUUUCCCUUUUCAGAGAGCUGAUGUGGAGGAUUCUGCGCCGUUCUUGGCCAUGCCGUCAUCUGGGGCCCCAGGAACCUUACAGACCCGAGGGCCAGGGUUUGGGGCCCAGAGCCCAGCAGAUAGCCAUCUUAGAAGCAUUCUCCCCAGGACCAGGGCUGCUAAACCCAACCCCACAUCUCCCACACAAAUGCGUCUUUCACUGGGGCUCUGGAAACCGGAGACCAUGUAAAUCCAAGAAGAUGAAAUUGUGUGGGUCUGGGCCGCAGCUACAGACUGAGACUCAGCAGCCGAGGGGCCCCAGCCUCAGAGGGAACUCAAUGAAUUUGUCAGGGAACUGAAAACAGAUGAUUUCAAUCAGCAGGGGAAAAAAAUGACUUCAUGGCCACAGUUGACCGAAGCAAGCGGCGUUCGGCUGCCAGGCCCUGCCUGGGAGGCGCUUCCAGAAAGCCUGGCCUCUUCCGCAGCCUCUGGCCGGGGUCUUCCCUGCGAGGAGCCAGCGCCGCUCGAGCCGCAGCAUGGCCCGGCAGAAGGCACGGCGGCCGUGAUGGGGCUGGCGGGGCGCGGUGAUAACCCGGGCUCCCCGCCCCCGCGCUUCCUCUCCGCUGCGCUUUCAUGAAUGGCCCCGCUUCCCAAACAGCCGAUUGGCUGAACCCCCGGCCGCGACGCCCAAUCAGCGGCUGUGGCCGCCUGGUCUCCGCUCCGCGUGGGGCCUCGGUCCUGCAGCCAUGAAUGGCGCAGCCUCAGCUGCCUGCAGCCACCGCCUACCUUGCGGGGGCCGCCUCCCCCCGAGGGAGGAGGAGCAGGGGAUUUUUUCUUUCCCCCAGACUGUUCAGGGUUCUGGUGCAAUUGUGUCAAUCUGAGGCUUGGCUGGAGCUCCUGACAAUAGCCCUUGGGCUUCCAAGGUUGACAUUCAAGGUCUUGUGACAGUGAAAGGGCUUGCAUAGUUAGAAAUGAAUUUCUUUGCCUAUAGCCCGGGCUGAUUCCAGUUCCAGGGAAAGAACGGCAGCCUUUCCGUGUAAGCAGGCAGCCCUGCUGGGGACAAAGACAGGGCCGUGGGAGGAGGUGGGGCCCCUUCCUGGCCAGUGCUGGGGGGGGCGGACACGUGCAAACUGCUGGGAACUUCGCCUGCAAACCAGAGGGCUUUGGCCACCCCUCUUGGUCACUGGCCUUGUCCUAGCUUCAUAUGCCACGUGCAUGAAGCGGCUGGGGCCCCUGUCGGGGAACCCAGCCAUUCCGCUGCAUUUCCUGUUAAGUAGGAAAACAUGUUCUGUUUGCUGAUGUUAUAAAGAAGGCAUGUGUUUACAAAUGCUCAUUGGGGAGAGCGUGGUUAAUGGGCCAGCUUCCGGCCUCACCUCCCCAGAUGAAGUGAUUGUGUGGCUGACAGAAUGGGCCUGCUCUUCAGGGGAAGACCCCCUACUCGGGAAAAUUAGACUCAGCAGAAGCCAGAAUUCAAAGCUGUCUAGAAAGUGCUUUUGCAAGGUGGGUUGAGGCCAGGAUGAGGAAGGCCUCGAAUGCCAAAGUGAGGAGGUGUCCCAAGCCCUGGGGAGUCAUGGAAGGCUGGUGAGAUGCAGAGUGAGAUUCCGGAGUGUUUCAGAAGCUUGACUCUUCCCCGGCAGGGACUUCUCUGCCAACACACCUACCCUGAGCAUGGCUGGGGUGACCUUUUAUGGAACUUCCAAAUUAGAACUGUGCAAACAGCUUCCUGUGACCCCUUGAUGAGCCCCAUUUUAAAGAUGAGAAAACUGAGGUUCAGAGUAAUCUGCAAAGGGUCCCACAAUUUGGGAGUGGCGAGACCAGGACUGGACCCUAUCUCUGCCUGAUGCCAUAGGGGAAAGGCACACCCAGGUGCUGCACGCCCACAGGGACUGGUGUGAGGAGGCUUCAGCAAAAAAAUGCGGGCAGAUCACUAAACACUGGGGCAGGCACUGACUCAUUGCUGCAGUGGUUAGGAUCAGAACUGGUGAGAAAUGUACCUGCUCCCAAAUUUCUAUGAGCCAGACUCUGGUCUCCCAGGUAGAUUCGUGAGGCCAUGAGUAUGCAGCAGGGGGCGGCCUGACAAAUUCAUGUAGAUUUCCAGUUGUAGCAUCUAUUUUUUUUUUCUUUUUUUUUGAGAUGGAGUUUCGCUCUUGUUACCCAGGCUGGAGUGCAGUGGUGUGAUCUCAGCUCACCGCAACCUCCGCCUCCCAGGCUCAAGUGAUUCUCCUGCCUCAGCCUCCCAAGUAGCUGGGAUUGCAGGCUUGCGCCAUCACAUCUGGCUAAUUUCGUAUUUUUAGUAGAGACGGGGUUUCUCCAUGUUGGUCAGGCUGGUCUCAAACUCCUAACCUCAGGUGAUCCGCCUGCCUUGAGAUGGAGUCUCACUCUGUCGCCCAGGCUGGAGUGCAGUGGUGUGAUCUCCAUUCACUGCAACCUCCACCUCCUGGGUUCAAGCGAUUCUUCUACCUCAGCCUCCUGAGUAUCUGGGAUUACAGGCAUGCGCCACCACACCCAGCUAAUUUUUGUAUUUUUAGUAGAGACGGGGUUUCAACAUGUUGGCCAGGCUGGUCUCAAACUCCUGACCUCAGUUGAUCCACCCACCUCGGCCUCCUGGAGUUCUGGGAUUACAGGCAUGAGCCACCUUGCCUGGCCUGUAGCAUCUAUUUCUGCCAGCCUAAUGCCCAGUAUCUGUUUUUAACCUUCUAGUUCAGCAGUUUGUAAAAUUUCUGGUCUUGGGACCCAUUUGCCUCUUAAAAGUUAUCGAGGACCCCAGAGAGAUUUUGUUGAUAUGGGUUUUAUCUACUGAUAUUUACUGAGUUAGAAAUGAAAACAUAGAAAUUUGUAAAAUGCAUGAUUCUGCAAGCAUACAUUCUGUUAGCUCUCAGAGUGACAGUGUCAUCAUGGGUCCUAUGGCCUCUGGGAAACUCCACUGCACAGUCAUGAGAGAAUGAAGAGAGAAUGAAAGGAAAAAAGACAAUUCAUGCCUCAGUGUCUUCAUGAAAUUAACUGCAACCUCUCAGACCUCCUGAAACCACACUUUGAGAACUGCUCUACAGAGAGCAGAUUGAGCUGGGCGGCGGGUGCCUGGCGAAAGCUUCAUUUCCCAGCCUUCUUGUGGCUAGGUCCGGCCAUGCCAUACCCUGGCUGAAUGGACUGUGAGCCAUCCUCCAUGGUGCUGGGCAACAUGAUAGAUCUGUGAGUGAAGGAGUCAUUGCAGUGGCCACAUCCUGCCUCUGACCAAUGAGCUUUUCCCUUCUUCUCCGCCUUCCACAGGCUGGGGUAUAAAUGAGGCAUGGGUCAAUUUGGCCCUCGUAGACAGGGCAACCCUCAGGUGUGACAGAGCCUGGGUGACCAGUAUCAUGCUGCCAUAUUUGUUUUUUGUUUUUUGUUUGUUUGGUUUUUGUUGUUGUUGUUUUGGAGAUGGAGUUUCGCUCUUGUUGCCCAGGCUAGAGUGCAAUGGCGCGAACUCGGCUCACUGCAACCUCCGCCUCCCAGGUUCAAGCGAUUCUCCUGCCUCAGCCUCCCAAGUAGCUGGGAUUACAGGUGCCUGCCCCCACGCUCGGCUAAUUUUUUGUAUUUUUAGUAGAGAUAAGGUUUCGCCAUGUUGGCAGGCUGGCCUGGAACUCCUGACCUCAGGUAAUUCACCUGCCUCAGCCGCCCAAAGUGCCGGGAUUACAGGCGUGAGCCACCAUGCCCAGCCCAUGCUGCCAUAUUUGUCCUGGAUUGACUAUGUGGGCUCCUGUGGGAAAAAGAAAUCAACAGCCAGGCUUCUGCUACUGUAUUUUGCAGUCUUUGCUAUAAUAGCCUAACCAGAAUCCUGAUCAGUACAUCAUUCUUACACACCUGGCUUCCUGCUCUUAUUAUGCUUGCAAGAAGUUGGAUGAACCAUCCAGAUAAGCCCUUGGGAGGAGCUGAGUCUUCAGAUGGAAGCAUGAGGUGGUGAAGCACCCCUGACAGAUCAUUCCUUUAACAUGCGUUUAUUGAGAUAUUCUUGCCAUGAGUCCAACAGAGUCCAGGAGAGGAACAUGAGGUCACAGCUGAUGGGAGGAGGGGACGCUGGGAUGGAGCUUGCCAGAGUGUCGGGGGCUGCCAUACAAAUCACCACACCCUGGGUGGUUUCCUACAGAAAGAGGCAGAAACGUACUCUUGCACAGUUCUGGAGGCUAGGAAUGGAGAUCCAGGUGUCAGCGGGGUUGGCGCCUCUGAGGGCUGUAAGGCAAAGAACCCAUCCCUGGUUCCUCUCCUGGCUCUUCUGGUAGCUUCAGCCGCCCUUGGCGUUCCCUGGUUUGUGGCCUCAUCGCUUCACCCUCUGCCUCCAUCAUCAUGUGGCCUUGCUCUUCAUGGGCCUCUCUGAGGAAAGCAAGAGGUGGGAGCAGUGGGCCUGGGCCGGGGUCAACAGCCAAGGUGUGGCCAAGGUCCACCCAAGGUCAUUGGCUCCUUGCUCGGCCUCAAAGCCAGCUUGACGCAGCAGACCCUCUCCCCGGUCUCUCUUUGUCCUUUCUUCUUCUUAUAAGGACACUUGUUAUUGGAUUUAGGGCCCACCCUAGUCCAGGAUGAUCUCAUCUCAAGAUCUUUUGCCUUCCCUGCAUGCACAACGAUUCCUUUUGCAAAUAAGGUCACACUCACGGGUUUCCCUGGCCGUACUCUUUGGUGUUGCGGGGGCGAAUGGGUGCAGCAUUCAGCCACUCCAGGGCUCUAAGUAGGAGGGACAGGCAGAAGCCACCACCAGGACAACUGGAAGACUUCCUGGAGGAGGGGGUGCUAAUUUGGGUCUUAAGGGGAGUCAUUGCUGCGAGAAAGGGGAGUCCACGUGGGAAGCUCAGAUGCAGGGAGGUGCAGGACCUUGGCAGGGUGUGGGGCCUCCAGGGGAAAGAUGACAAGUGUGCUGGAGGCCUUGGGGGUGGAGGGCUGAGUGCCUCAGGAUGAGGCUGGGAGGGCCAGGUGUGGGAGGUCUCAGGGCUUUGUUCUGCAGACAGCAGGAGCCAGCAGGGGCUCUAGGGCUGGGAGUGAGAGAGUUCCCUGCAGGACAAAGGUGGGCUAAUGGAUUCCCACUAGGUUCAGGGAUGCAGAGGUGGUCCUGGGAGGGGGUGUAAAUAUGUGUCUUGCAAGGGGUGGAGGGGGAGAUGGAGCCUUGGGGUGGUCCCUGGGAGGACCCUGGGGGCGUGUGGGGACGUCUGUACAGAGUGCAGCAGGAAAUCAGGCUGGUCUGUCUUGCUGUGUUUCCAAAGAAAAGAGGCAAACCCAAGGGGUAAGGGGCUUCCUUAGACGCAGGGCCCAGUGCACCCGGGCGCUGGCGGUGGGUCUGGGGGCUGACUGUGUCUGUACUCUCUCCUUUGUCUGCAGGCCUGGUCUGCACUCAGCGGCUGCCAGGACCUCCCGGGAGCGCCCACACACCCCACAGCCCGCCUGUCCUGGGAAUACCUCUCCAGGCCCUGAAUACCUGUCCCCCACUCCCUGCCUAGGACAACGGGGGCUGUCAGGGCCAUGGGCAGGCCCACCCCACCAACCAGACCCUACGUGGGCCCCGCCUUGGUCCCGGAGCCAAUGUCUGGCUGAUCAGGGAACAAGAGGAGCCUUCAACACCUCAAUUCUGGGACGGUUGAGGUUUUCACACCGGGCCACACCUGAGCCACUAGGAGCCGGGAGGCUCUGAUCGUCUCUCCGCCUGUCUCUCUCUGGCAUCGCCAGGGCUGACUUCAUUCCACGUCCGCGCGGAAACAGCAGGGCUAUCUCAGUGCAAUCCUGGUUUUGUAUUCAGAGCCUCCUCUGAGUGAGUGCCAGGGCGCACCGUGCAAGGAGCCUGGCUUUGCCCACUGCAAUCCCGUGCCCUCACCCUAGUCUUUUAACCUCUCACGACUCAGGUUCCUCAUCUGUGAAAUGGAGCUGUCUUCUUUGUGGGGUUAGUGGAAGCAAUAAGCGAGAAGUGUGUCCACACAGGCCCAGCCUUUCUGGGGCCUCACUGUGACCAGACACUGCGCUUUGGACUAGGGGAUGGGAUGCGACUUAGGGGAGCUGCGGCCACCUGUCUCUGGAGGCUGAAGUCUCCCUGCGGACCACCCUUCCUCAGGACCACCCUUCCUCACUUGCACGUCUCCCCUGCAGUCAGGACUCGCCUGCCCCCACGCCAGGCUCUCCCUAGUGGAUCAGGCUGUACAACCUGGUUUGUAUGAGGAAAGGCAGCCGCUGGGGCCCCAGUGCAGCAAGAGAGGGGAGGAGGAGGUGUUCAGAGGGAAGACCCCUCCCCACCCCCGUUGGCCCCUUGUCUUCAAAGGAAGGGCGUGACCUUUCUGCCCCCCAGACCCACCCUGAGGGUCACUGUGGCGGUGAAGCCUGGUGCCGGCACUUGUGCCCGCCCUCUGACUUGCAGUGUCCCGAGACAUAUUCAGGGGAGCCAGGUAUUCAAUCAGCAAGGCUCCCAACAAGAUGGGGUGGGUGGGAGAAGCACCCACAAUUCUCUAGAAGGCUUUCAGGGCAUUCUUCACUAAAGAGACACAUUGGAGUCUGGAACCCCUCCCCUAGCAGGGGGACACCUCCAAGCUGUGCUCAAAACUGGGACAGGAUAUUUGGGUUGGAGUGUUCUCCGUCUCUGCCUCUCUGUCUCUCUCUCUCCCUUUCUCUCUGUCUCUCUCUCUCUCUCCCUCUCUCCCUGUCUCUCUCUCUCUCUCUCUCUCUCACUCUCUCUUGCUCUCUCUUUCCUCCUGUCUCUCUAAAGGUCUCCUUUCCUCUAAGGGCAAAGCAGCAGCUGUCAGGUCCUUAGAGCAGGAUCCCUGGUUGGUGCAGGCCCAGGGCCAGCCCCUGGUCCCGGCCUUUCUUCCCCUGGGGGAUGAACAGUGAAUGCAGCCGCCCUGGGAGUUGGGCGACCUGCGGGGCUUGGAGGGAAGGGCAGGAGGGCCCAGGGCUGACACAGCACGCCUGGCUGGGGUGGGGGCAGUGGUGUGGGUGGCUGACCACAUUCCUGGGAUGCCGGGCUGCAGGGCUGGGCGGCUGUGUCUACACCUGUCUGCCCCUGUCGGCUGUGAGCAAUGCAGCCAGGGACAGGGCAGCUAGAGCCAUGCUGUGGUCUGGCCAGUGGGCCAGGCACGUGAGCUGGUUCAUGCCCUGCUGCACCAACAACGUUCACCUGGAGAGGUCAGUGGCCUCAUUGAGGGGAAGAAGGGCUCUGUCCCUAGAGUCUAGCAAGCCUGGGCCAUGGUCUGUGGGGCUUGUCAGGGUGACUUCACCUCUGUGAGCCUCAGUUUCCCUCCCUGGAAAGUGGAGCAUAACAUGGGUGGGGUCCCCGGUGCUGGCCUGCAGAGCCCUGGGAGACGUGUGGAGUACAAGCCCCAUACGCUAGGCCAAAAGAUCCGCAGACCAGGCAGCUUAACUGAUAGAAAUGAAAGUCCAAGAUCAAGGUGUCAGCAGGGCAGGCUCCUUCUGAGGCUGCGGGGAAGGAACUGGCCCAGGUUUCUCUCCUUGGCUUGCAGGUGGCCCAUGCCUCUCCACAUCAGCUUCCCUCCCAUGCGGCCUCUGUGCCUGAACUUCCUCUUUUAGUAGGACUGCGGUCAUAUUGGAUUAGGGCCCACCCUAAUGGCCUCCUCAGAACUUGGUGACCACUGUAAAGGCCCUAUCUCCAAAUCAGGAAAUGUUCCGGGGUCCUGGGGGUUAAGACUUCAACACAAACAUCUUGUUGGAGGGGGGUUGCAAUUCAGUCCACACCCGCUUCCCUCGUCUCACUUCGUCCAGCACUCAGCACCCUCUGGCCCUGCCCUUAGCUGUGGGUCUGGAUUUCCCAUCUCUUCCACGGUAAGCCCUGUGAGGGCGGCGUCUUUAUCCCAUUUGCUGUUACACCUGCAAUUCCUGGGGUGCCGGCUUGUUCUCAUCAUUUAGCAGACCAUUGCUGAAUGGCUAACAAAUCCAGGAUACAAUUUGUAGGUGCACCAAGCCAGGCAAGGUAUCUGCGUCACCUGCCCGUCAGUGGCCCCAGGCUGGGAAGACCCCUUGGGUCAUGCUUGGACACUCUGCACCAUGGGCAGCCAGAACUCCUGGCCGAGUGGUCAGCGGCCGCCACACCUUGCUGGAGCAGAGGCACCCCUGCCAUCCCACAGGCAAGACGGACCUAGCUCGGUUUCCCAACACUCUGUUGAGAUGGGGCUGCCCAGAAGCCCACACAAGCCCACACCUGGGGGAAUCCCAGCCCCACGUUCUGGUUCAAGUCGCUGCUGGUUUGGGUUCAGAGCCCAAACAUGAGCUCCUGCUCUUCUUGGUGUGAUCUGAGGCUGUGGAUAUCCUGAGAACAUCUGUCUCAACAGAACACCUUCCUCCAUGUUGCCUAUAUCCCAAAUUCACUCCCAAGUGGCUUUUGUCUGGCAGAUUCCGGUGGAUUAUGCAAAGAGGGACUGCCAGAGAAUCUGAGCUGUUGGAAGACUUCUGAAACGUCACUGCGGUGGCGGAGGCACUGCCCCGGGGGGACAAAAGUCUUGUCUCUUCCUCCAAAUGUGGAGGAUCAAAUUAGAGUUGACUUGUGUGUUUCCAAACCCGUUGUCGUCCCAGCAUUCAACUAAUUUGAAGAUACCAAAAGCCUCAGAAGAGGGUGGCAGAAGAAGAAAGGGACAAACACAAAAGGGGAAGGACAAGAGGGCAGACCGUUAAAAAAAAAAAAAACCUACAAGAAUGCAGUUUGCUCCUGGGUGGACCCUCCCACCCCGUGCCUGCCCCGAGCUGGCCCCUGACCUGUGCCGGCAGCUCAAAUUCCUAACAUCUGGCCCAGGGUAAGGAUAUGGGCAACUCUUUAAGGAAGCGUGUCCUCGCUAGGUGCUGAUCACUCACUCCAAGGGACUUUGCUCCUGGAUGCCCAGGCUCAGAGAGGGCUGUGAGCCUCCCAUGGUCACACAGCAGCAGUCCAAGUGCCUGGGGCAGUCCGAUGCCCACAUCCCCCUUGAGGUCCCAGGUGAGGGCAUGGUCACAGGAUGCAGACCCCUGCCUGGGUAGGUCUCUGGUCUUCUAUGGCACCUACUUGUAAGCCUCCCCAGCAAGUUCAAUGUGGGGCUCCCAGCACCGGUCCUUGGGAUUUGGGGGUUCCUUGGUUUCUUCUCUUUUCUCUCUACCCUUCUUCUCCCUGGGUGACCUCAUCUGUUCCCCUGGAUGAGGUGUGGUCCCCUCCUCAGUUCAAUGCUGGGAGCCCUGCACUGAACCUGGAGGGAACCAGCAGGCUCUAGGUCCCGACUUUUGGAGUAGGGCCUGCCCCUUCCUUCCUGCCCCUUUCUCUAGGGAGUGCUGUGAAGGGUGCAUUUGGGCCCUGGGGGCCCAUGAGUUUGGGCCUCCAGGAUAGCUGAGAGCACGUGGGCCUGGCCUGCCCACUCUUCCUGAAGCCCCCCAGCUUCGCCCCACUCCUGGGCCCUGACCAGCCUCCUGCCUUUGCCUUUGUCUGGCCUUGGGUUUCCCAGGCAGUGGCAGCUUUGCUCUUUUUCUCGCAGGUCUCAGGUGUCACCUCUUGAAAAUUCAAAGGAGGAUCCUUCGAAUUCAUGAACCAGCAACCUCCCAGGAGGUGGGUCUUCCCACCCUGCACCAUCCGGCCUUAGGAAUUCAGUCUGGAGCCCUCCCUCCCCAGGGCCUGGGGCCUGGAAGUCGGAGCCAGCCAGAGCAGGGAAGGGUCGGGCCCUGGAAAUCCAGAGUGGCCUGCCUGGGCCGGGGUGGGGCUGGGCAUGGGGAGGCGUGGGUCCUGUCGGGGUUGGGACCAGCGCUCCAGCUUCCCUAGCUGAUUUGAGCAUUUAAUUUUAAUUCCACAAAUAGAGAAAAAGAAAGAAAACUCCUGAAAGUCGCGGCAGAUCCUCACGGCUCUGCAGAUGUCCUGCGGAGGUUGAGCCUCUGCACUUUGGCCUCAGCUGCCCAGGUACCAGUCUCAGCUACUGUCACUGGCGGUGUGGCCUGGGCAGCCAUGUCCCCUCCCCAGGCCUCAGUCUCCCAGUGUGUCAAAUAUCUGCCCCGUCUCAGGUCUCAUUCUGCUGCUUCCCCCUUGUGAUCAUACCCUGCCCCUCCCCACUCCCCAAGGACUUCUUGGCCUUAGCCCACAAACCUAUGCAGGUGGUUCCAUCAGAGACUGUCCCCCCCAGCCACCCCAGCCCUCAUCCUAAGUCCCAUGCUCCCCUCCCCUGCAGGAGGCCACUCCGUCCUCCUAGUACUCUCUUCUCCCAGCAUCUCCAGUUCUCCACUGCCCGCUUUUCCUGCUGCCCCACUUGCUGGUCCCCUGGAGUCCCCCAGACAUCAUCGCUCCUGCAGUCAGCAAGGAUUUGGUGGGUGCCUGUUGAGGGGGCCGCUCCUCUGGGGCUGGAGUGCAGCGAUGCGUGAAACAUUAUGAUCCCUGAUCGCCUGGGGCUUCUGGUCCCAUGGGAUUUGAGGGUUCCUUGGUUUUUUUCUCUUUCAACCCUUCUUCUCCCUGGGUGACCUCAUCAGUUCCCAUGGAUUGAAAUAUCCUUAUGCCAAUGACUUCCAAAUUUGUCUCUUCAGCCAUGACCUCUCCUCCAAACUCUGGACCCAUAUAUCCGGCCAUCCACUUGACAUCUCCCUUUGGGGUCUCCCAGACAUGUCAAGCAGAUCGUGUCCAAGCUGGUGUCCAAUCCUUUCCCAGGCAACUCAACUCCCAUCUUCCCCAUCUCAGUAAAUCCCACUGCCACCCCUCCACUAGCUCCAUCCAGAAACCUCUACAAUCUCCUUGCUUCUCCCUGUCCAUAUCCACGAUCAGGAAUCCAUCCACAGACCUGUGCAUCCUGUCUCUGCAGAUCCACAGCCUCACCCCCAUCAGCACCCCGGUCCAUAGAGAGAGACCUGGUGACACAGAUGGUACUUCAGAGAGAGGACAUGAAUGGUGUCUCUAGUCAUGAGAGUCAGGGUUUAGGUUGAAGCUACUCCGCCAGGGAGAAGUGGAGAUCCAGGGCCCAUCCAGGGACACGCAGGGAGAAACCGCUUCCCCCAGCCUCAGGGUGGAGCCCCUGGUUACCCUCUGAGCCCCAGAGCCUUGUGUCCCCAGGGAGGCAGAGGGUGGAAAAGACUGAUGGGUAGAGAGAGUGAGAGCAUCAAGACCCCUCUACACUGCAGUACAAGAGGCUCCCUUUUGGGUGGGCGUGACAGGAGACAUCCCAGUACGUGGAUCCCAGCCUUUGGACUUGGUGACUGUGAUCAGCUAAGAGUAAAACUGUUCUUGCUUUAUUCUUCUGGGAAAGGGCUACACCUGCUGGGUUCCACACCAGGUGAAGACCGGGCAGGUAUUCUAUUCAAAAGGGUGUGGCUUUGCCACCCAUUUGACAGGAGAGAAAACGGAGGCAUGGAGUUACCAGGAUGUGAGCAGCACAGCAGAGCAGUCCUGUUCAGGGCCUCACACUCCCUCCCCACAGCCCCCUUCCUGACCCUACAGCCCCCGUUCCAGGCAGUUCCUAGCACCAUAAGGUAAGUGGACAAGCCUCACUCUGGAAGGAGAGCACAGGGCCCUGUCCCUCCUGGGGGCCCGCUGAGAAGCACAGUGGAGUUCUCCAGGGACCACCAUCACACCGAGGACACGUUACCAUAAAGAAAGGGCCCCUGCUCACACACAUUUCCCAGUCACUAGCAGUGAGCACGUGGCAGCCUCCAGCAGCUCGGAUUCCUCCAGGCCACACCCUAGACCUGGCCACCCACAUUCUGGCUUCUCAGGGCACAUGGAGCAGCCAUUCCCCUGGGCUCUGGGCCCCAGGCACAAGAGACCCAGGCUUGCAGCUGUUUUGCAGAGAGUAAGGGCAAAAUGGAAGCUGCAGUGAUGAGGGAGAAGGUGCUGGGGAGAGGGAGAGAGAUAGCUGGAUGGGCAGGGCCGCUGUUGCUGGGACCUCAGCCCCAGGACGGGCAUCCUUUCAGCAAAAUCUUUGCUGGGCAGCUAUGGUGGGCUAGACACUGUGAGGUGAUGGCGUCUGGGCAAGACCUACAGGACAGGGGACGCGCAGCCCAGUGGGAAAGACAGGGAAUCAGCUCAACCGUCCACCAUGGGCCAUGUCAGAUCCAGUUAUCCUACCAUCCAGAAGCAGGGGGCCAGGAGGUUAAAUGACGUGCUGGUGGCCAUGGUGUGGGGGCAGAAGGGCCAGGGUUCAAAGCCAUACCCCUUUGAACAGAACAGGUGUAGCCUAUUUACCCGCCUCUCCCUCCAUCCAUCUGCACAUUAAUUCAUUCAUUCAUUCAUUCAUUCAUUCGCUGAGCACCUGCUAUGUGCUGGGCCCUGCUCUCAAGAAGUUUGGAUUCUGGUGGGGAGGAAAGAAAAAAUAUCCAGGUUCAUCAGACAAGCAAAUAAUACAACUACAAAAGUUGUCAAGAGUCUCCUGGAAGAGAAGGAGCUGGCUAUGUGGGGCCUGCACACACACGUAUGCAUAUAUUCACAUGCAUGUUCAUCCAUGUACACAUGUGUGCAUGCAUGUCUGUGUGUGCUUUGAGCAUGACUGUACCUGUGUAUCUGUGUGUGCACAGAUGUGCAUGUGCACGUGUCUAUCUGAGUGUGUCUGUGUGCAGGCAGGUUUCAUGGAUGUUUCUGUGCCUGCAUACAUGUGUGUGAGUGUGUGUGCAUGUGUGAAUGUGAAUGUAAUUCCCAACAGAGGUAUGAACAUAGCUCAGAGGUGGGUGGACUCAGUGGGAUGUGCUUUAGGGAGGAAAAGAGGCCCAGUGUGCCAGGGGUCAGGGCGUGGGGCAUUGAGGGGUUUCGGGAGGAAGGAGCACGUGGAGGCCAAGCUGUGAAAACCCUGUAGACCAUGAGAGGAAUUUGAGUUUUAUUCAAAAUGCAAAGGGAGCCAACAGAGGAAUUUCCACAUGGCUAGAAAAAAGCACACAGCCAUGGGACUGUGGGGAGCACGGAGUGGAGGGGGUGUGAGUGGAGGCAGAUGGCCAGGCCAGAGGCCAGCACUGCACCUGCCCAGGUGAGAAAGGCUGGGAGAUGAGAAGGAAACCCACACUGACCAAGAUUAAAAACAAUACGAUACAAGGAAUUAACAGCAGAUGAGACAGUGUAAAAAAAAAUAAUAAUAAUGAACUUAAAAACACAGUCAUAGAAAUUCUCCAAAAUGGAAUACAAGGAGAAAAAAGACUUAAAAAAAAGACAAGGAAGAACAGAACAGCAGUGAGUUCUGGGACAUCAAGUAGCCUAGCAUAGGUAACUGGAGUCCCCAAUGAACCCCAGUGAGCGUGACCCAGUAUCCGCCUAGUAGGACGCUGAAAUAAAAAUGACUGACCGACUCAGUGCCAGCGAGGACAUGGGGCCACUGGACCCCUCCCACACCACGGGUACCAGCUCUUUGGAAACCUCUUCUGCAGAUUCUUCCAAAGCUAAAUAUCCAUCUAUGUGUGACUCAGCCAUUCCACUCCUGGGUAUUCUCCAAAGGGAGAUUAAAGUGCACAGCCUCCCCAAAUCUCGUACACAAAGGUUCCCAGCGGCUUUAUUUGUAACAGCCCCAAGCUGGAAACCACCCAAAUGCCCAUCAGCAGGUGCUUGGGUAAGCAGAGGCCUGGGGUCACCGUUGGUUCAGCUGUUGGCCUCUCCUUCUGUCUCUCCAAGCGCCCUAGGGCAAGUGGCAUCUUCAAGCUGAGCCUUGGUUUCCUUUCCUGUGAAGUGGGUCUAGUGAGUGGGCCUGAUUUGAGGUGGUGGGCAGGAUCAGCGUGGCAUCACUGGGGAAGCUCGCAGCCGAGUGUGAAGGGCCCGGCAUGGAGGGGUGGAAGAUGUCAGGCUCCAAGCAGCCCCCGACGCUGGCAGUGCUCAGGCUGACCCUUGGCUGCCUCAGCUCUGGGAACCCCAUGCAGCACGAGGCGUCGGGGCAGGUAGUGGGGCCAUAGGAGGCGGCAGGGCCUGGGCUGUGGCCCCGUUCCCUGAAGGGCUCCGUGUGUUCCAUGCAGCGGGCAGGGUCAGGGGUCAUGUUUAAACGCGGGGGAGCCCAGGGCAGUACCUCCAGGCCGCAUGCUAUCCAAGUGGCGUGGGCAGGCGGCCCCUUGGAUGGUCUCGGGACAGCACAGCAAGGCCCUGGGCACUCACCUGACCAGUCACGUUGGGGCCGCCUGAGGGAACAGGCAGGCAGAUCCAACCCAUGGUGGGGGGCUGGGACUUAGGAUGGUUUGAGGGGUGCGCCGAAAGCCUGGGAAGGAGCCUGGGUGGGAGAGUGGAUGCCCGGCACACACACUCGAGUGGACCAGAGGCGGUUGGCUAGGCCACAGCUAUCCCGUGCCCAGCACCCUGGUAGCCAGUUCAGAGUGACUGUCCCAGCCCUAGCUGAGGGUAUGCAGCCAAAGCAGGGCACACCUGGUGUUUCUGGAAACCCCUCUCCCCAUGCCACUGCGUGCCAGCUCCAGUGGCCCCCGUGUCGGUCCUUAGGACUCUGGCCACCCACACGCUGAGCUCCCACAGGGCAGGUCCAAUGCCCAGCACACAGGGGAAGCUCAGCCCAUGUGCCGGCGGAACGGUGAGAUGGGUGUGAAUGAACAAAUGAAGCAUCUCUCUCCCCCUCCCCUCCCCAGCUUCUCAACCACAGAAUCUGUGCCUGGCUCAGGAAAUGUACCCUUCGUGUGGGUUUUCUAUUGCUGCGUAACAAAUGGUCACCAAUUGAAAAGCUUAAAAUGGCAUUUAUCUAUUGUCUUAAAGUUUGGGCAGGUCAGGAGCCAGGACAUGGCAUAGCUGGGUCUUCUGUCUCAUGGGGCUGCAGUCAAGGUGCCAACCGGAGCUGGGGUCUCCUCUGAGGUUUGGGACCCUCUUCCAAGCUCUCUCGGUUGUGGAAGAUUGCAUUUCCUUGCCCCUGUUCCUCAUGGGGCUGGAUCUCCAAAUCCUGCAGGAGAGUCUCUGACUUCAAGGCCAUUUUGAAAGGGCUCACCUGAUUAGCUUGGGCCCACCCAGGAUCAUCUCCAUUUUGAUUAACUCAAGGUCAGCUGGUUAGGACCUUAAUUACACCUGCAGAAGUCCGGCACCUUUGCGAUAUAAAGUAACCUCACCACGGGAGCACAUCCACCCUCUUUGCAGCCCUGCCACACUCCAAGUUGGGGAGUACACAGGUGUGUAGACACCUGGGGGCAGGGAUGCUGGAAAGCGUCUGAGUCUCCUCCCAACCACGCUCUCCUUGGCUCUGAGACUGAGUCCUGGCCCCAGGUAGGUAAUGAGUGAAGCUUUGCGGAAUGAAUACACGAGGGAAUGAGUGAGUGAGUGAAUGUGUGAGUCUGGCAUCUUCCAUCAAACUGUGACCUUCCCAGGGCCAGGGUCCACAUUGGACUCACCUCUGAAAUCGCCAUGCCAACUAGUGCUCCUGGUUACCUAUGACGCUUUGAAUGCUCACCUGAGCGAGUGGAGGAGGGAGUGGCGCCCCUGUCUCUCCUCAAGGUCAGUGUCUGUGCAGAGCAGCUCCAAGACCCAUUCCUCUGGGAGCCAGGUACAGGGCCGCAAGCUCUGUCCUCGGCACCAUCUCCUCUGGCUCCUCCAUGCAGCUGACCCUCCAGUGCACAGCAGCAGCCCCCAGGGCAGCACUGGCCACACAGGGACCAGUGGAGGCAGGCUCCUGGCUGUGAGACCUUGGGCAAGGCCUUCUGUCCCGACCCUCCUGGUCUCCAUCAGCAAGAGAGGGGUGGCAACACCUGGCUGGCGUAAGGAUGGAGCAUUCCCCGCAUGGCCAGCUCUCAGGGCAAUGCCUGGUGCCGUCCAGAUGCCCACACCGUUGCCUCCUUUCAUCCCUCCAAGAGCAUCACCAGGCAGGUGCUGUCAUUAUGCCCAUUUUAUAGCUUGGUAAACUGAGGCACAGAGAGGUUAGGUAAUACAUACAAAGCUGGGGAUUGGGCCCAGACAGUCUGGCUCUAGCCAUAUUGGAAGGGCAUUCCCCCUCACCCCUGACUACUGGGUUCCUGAGUAGUGAGUUGAAGACCCUGCUCGUCAGUGUGCUGUGUGACGUUAGCAAGCCAGCUGUCCUCUCUGUUUUGGCCACUGUGUUGGGCUUCCUGGGGCUGCUAUAACCAAGUGCCACAGGCUACACGGCUUAAACCACAGAAGUGUAUCGUCUCACAGCUCUGGAGGCCAGAAGUUCAAAAUGAAGGUUGGGCA